rnacentral:pre_miRNA from 1 species
CAAAUACUCCCUCCGUCCGGAAAUACUUGUCAUCAAAAUGGAUAAAAGGGAAUGUAUCUAGACGUAUUUUAGUUUUAGAUACAUCUCUUUUUAUCCAUUUUGCUGACAAGUAUUUUCGGAUGGAGGGAGUAUUUA